rnacentral:rRNA from 1 species
AUGGUAGGAUAGAGGCCUACCAUGGUGGUAACGGGUAACGGGGUGUUAGGGCACGACACCGGAGAGGGAGCCUGAGAAACGGCUACCACAUCCAAGGAUGGCAGCAGGCGCGCAAAUUACCCAAUCCCGACACGGGGAGGUAGUGACAAUAAAUAACAAUACGGGGUUCUUUAGGAUCUCGUAAUUGGAAUGAGUACAAUUUAAAUCUCUUAACGAGGAACAAUUGGAGGGCAAGUCUGGUGCCAGCAGCCGCGGUAAUUCCAGCUCCAAUAGCGUAUAUNAAAGUUGUUGCAGUUAAAAAGCUCGUAGUUGAAUUUCGGGGUCAGUAGGUCGGUCGUGCCACUGGUAUGAACUGGUUUUACUGAUUCCUCCCUCUUGAAGAACUGUAAUGCCAUUAAUUUGGUGUUGCAGGGAAUCAGGACUGUUACUUUGAAAAAAUUAGAGUGUUUAAAGCAGGCUUUAGCUUGAAUACAUUAGCAUGGAAUAAUGAAAUAGGACGUUUGAUCCUAUUUUGUUGGUUUCUAGGAUUGACGUAAUGAUUAAUAGGGAUAGUUGGGGGCAUUAGUAUUCAAUUGUCAGAGGUGAAAUUCUUGGAUUUAUUGAAGACUAACUACUGCGAGAGCAUUUGCCAAGGAUGUUUUCAUUAAUCAAGAACGAAAGUUAGGGGAUCAAAGACGAUCAGAUACCGUCGUAGUCUUAACCAUAAACUAUGCCGACUAGGGAUCGGAUGAUGUUAAUUUUUUAAUGACUCAUUCGGCGCCUUACGGGAAACCAAAGUGUUUGGG